UCGGGAAUUUUGGGCAAUGGGCGAAAGCCUGACCCAGCAACGCCGCGUGAAGGAUGAAGUAUUUCGGUAUGUAAACUUCGUAAGAAUAGGAAGAAUAAAUGACGGUACUAUUUGUAAGGUCCGGCUAACUACGUGCCAGCAGCCGCGGUAAUACGUAGGGACCAAGCGUUGUUCGGAUUUACUGGGCGUAAAGGGCGCGUAGGCGGUGUGUCAAGUCAGUUGUGAAAUCUCCGAGCUUAACUCGGAACGGUCAACUGAUACUGUCACACUAGAGUACAGAAGGGGCAAUCGGAAUUCUUGGUGUAGCGGUGAAAUGCGUAGAUAUCAAGAGGAACACCUGAGGCGAAGGCGGGUUGCUGGGCUGAUACUAGCGCUGAGGCGCGAAAGCUAGGGUAGCAAACGGGGAUUAGAU
rnacentral:rRNA from 1 species